CUGAUGCUGCCAACAUUAUCACAAAUGUGGAAGCCAAGUGGCCAGGCUCUGUUGAUGACUCACGAAUUUUUCGUGAAUGUACACUGAGCACAAAAUUUGGACAUAGAGAGUUCACUGGCUACUUGCUUGGUGAUAGGGGGUAUCCAUGUUUACCCUAUUUGCUUACCCCUUACCCUGACCCUGAACUGGGCCCACAGCAGCGAUAUAAUCUGGCUCAUUGCAGGACAAGAGCCAGAGCUGAAAUGACUAUCGGAAUGCUUAAGGCCCGGUUCCAGUGCCUUCAAAGACUCAGGGUCACCCCAGAAAGGGCAUGUGACAUUAUUGUGGCAUGUGUGAUUCUUCACAACAUUGCCACAGUUAGAGGAGAACACUGUCCUUCUGAACCAAACAUCAGCAGUGAUCCAAACCAUGAACAUCCUGACCCUCCCACGGACAUACAAGAUGGAAGAGCAGUCAGAGACACCAUAUGUCACAAUCAUUUCCUUUGACCCAUCACCUCAACAUGUUGAAAGAAGAAUAAACAGAUUUUUUUGUUCAACUGGCUUUAUUGGUCGCCUGUAUUUCCUGUACACAAAGUAUUAAUAAGUUUAUUAUUAUGUUGUUCAAACACUGAAAUAAUUCGUCCAUCUCUGACCACUUCACCCACCCUUAACUGAUGUUCUAGCAGUAAAAUCUCAAUCUUGGUCUUUUGGAUCUGCUGCUUGAAGUGUUCCAUUUCCAAGUCGCAUUUUUUUAUUUUCUUGAUCAAAUAGGUCUUGUACAGCUGCUUUACAGGGAGCUAUUGAAACACAGAAAAUAGCAUUGACAUUCAUAGUACAUGCCUACUUAGGUUGGUUGUAAAUCAGUGCUGAACAUCUUACUGUGGAAAGGUUUGUUGGAGAAGUGGCUGGACCCUCUUCCUCUGCAUUUCCAUCAUCACUCUGUUAGAGACAUAGAAAGUCCAUGGUUUUAUUAUAGUACCACAUUUUAUUCAAUUGUUAUAUUUUCCAUUGUAAGAUGUAAACCUCAUAAAGUGUCUCUGUUGCUUCCUCCUCUGUAA